GGCCGAUUCGCUACAGUUCCCGCCUGGCUAUCUCGGUGCUGUUCCGGACCGCUCCGGUUCUGAUGAUGAUGCUGAGGGUAGUCUCAACGCCAUGGAGUAUUUGACCAGAAUCUUGGGUUCGAAGGUGUACGAUGUGGCUAUUGAAUCGCCGUUGCAGCUUGCGCCGACGUUGUCUGAACGUUUGGGGGUGAAUAUCUGGCUCAAGAGGGAGGACUUGCAG
rnacentral:misc_RNA from 1 species